AGGGUGUGGAGGAGUCCUCACCUCACACACACACACACAUACACACACACACACACACACACACACACACACACACACACACACACACACACACACACACACACACACACACACACACACACACACACACACACACACACACAGUCACAGAGCAGACACACACACACUGAUGAAGAACUGACCAACAUGCGAACCAGGAAGGACAGCAGACCUCCAGGAACAAACUCUGCAGAGAAAAGCUCAUCAUCUCAUGACGUGGAGAUGGAUCAGGACACGGUGAAGGAACAACAUGAGAUCCAGACUGAAGAUCAGAGGACCAGGAAGCAGCUCACAUCUGGACCUGGACCCAGCUGUCUGUCCUUUAGAAGUGACCAGUCCAUGGGCAGACCCAUUUACUUCAAAGGAGGUCCAUCUACUGACCCACAGUGAGUCCACAUAAAGAAGGUUGCUGGUUGUCUUCCUGAUGGUCCAGGGGCCUCAUUUAUUGAUCCGUUCAUAGAACUGGUUCUAAAUACGUUCAGACCAAUGAAAUGUAGAAUGUGCACCAGUACAAAAAGAAUCAGUAUUUAUGAAGCGUGUGGACAGAGGUCGUACACACAGCAGUGUUGAUUAAUCCCACCUGUUCUAAAGCUAGCACAUGUUCAGGAUCAUUUACAUUAAGACACGCCUCUAAUUGACCAUAUAUGGUAGCAGCAAUCCUAUUAUUCAUGGGGUCAAUUUGACUUCAUUCAAUGUUUAUCACUGAAAAAAUAAUAGACUUUAUUUGAAGAUGAUAGGAGGUUCAGAAUGUGUGAACAGACUUUUUCCAGUGGAUUCUGACCAAAGCUAUAAAUAAAAUCAAGGAUCAACUAACA
rnacentral:lncRNA from 1 species